AAAAACCUCCACAGAGACAGAAACAUAUGGCAGAAAACUAGGUGACAGGUCAUGACCAACAACAGAAAGAACGGAAAGAACCUCCACAGAGACAGAAACAUAGGGCAGAAAAUUAGGUGACAGUUCAAAAACAACAACAGAAAGAACGGAAAGAACGGAAAGAACCUCCACAGAGACAGAAACAUAGGGCAGAAAAUUAGGUGAAAGUUCAAAAACAACAACGGAAAGAAUGGAAAGAACGGAAAGAACGGAAAGAACCUCCACAGAGACAGAAACAUAGAGCAGAAAAUUAGGUAUCAGGUCAAGACCAACAACGGAAAGACCGGAAAGACCGGAAAGAACGGAAAGAACGGAAAGAACGGAAAGAACCUCCACAGAGACAGAAACAUAGGGCAGAAAAUUAGGUGACAGUUCAAAAACAACAAAAAGAACUGAAAGAAGGGAAAGAACCUCCACAGAGACAGAAACAUAGGGCAGAAAAAUAAGGUGACAGUUCAAAAACAACAACAGAAAGAACGGAAAGAACGGAAAGAACGGAAAGAACGGAAAGAUAGGAAAGACAGGAAAGAUAGGAAAGAUAGGAAAGAACGGAAAGAACGGAAAGAACCUCCACAGAGACAGAAACAUAGGGCAGAAAUUAGGUGACAGGUCAAGACCAACAACGGAAAGAACAGAAAGAACAGAAAGAACCUCCACAGAGACAGAAACAUAGGGCAGAAAAUUAGGUGACAGUUCAAAAACAACUACAGAAAGAACGGAAAGAACGGAAAGAACCUCCACAGAGACAGAAACAUAGAACAGAAAAUUAGGUGACAGUUCAAAAACAACAACAGAAAGCACGGAAAGAACGGAAAGAACGGAAAGAACCUCCACAGAGACAGAAACAUGGGGCAGAAAAUUAGGAGGCAGUUCAAAAAGAACGGAAAGAACGGAAAGAACGGAAAGAACGGAAAAACCUCCACAGAGACAGAAACAUAGGGCAGAAAAUUAGGUGACAGUUCAAAAACAACAACAGAAAGAACGGGAAGAACGGAAAGAACGGAAAGAACGGAAAGAACCUCCACAGAGACAGAAACAUAGGGCAGAAACUUAGGUGACAGUUCAAAAACAACAAAAACAACGGAAAGAACGGAAAGAACGGAAAGAACCUCCACAGAGACAGAAACAUAGGGCAGAAAAUUAGGUGACAGUUCGGAAAGAACGGAAAGAACCUCCACAGAGACAGAAACAUAGGGCAGAAAAUUUGGUGACAGUUCAAAAACAACAACAGAAAGAACGGAAAGAACGGAAAGAACCUCCACAGAGACAGAAACAUAGGGCAGAAAAUUAGGUGACAGUUCAAAAACAGCAACGCAAAGAACGCAAAGAACGCAAAGAACGCAAAGAACGCAAAGAACGCAAAGAACGCAAAGAACGCAAAGAACGCAAAGAACGCAAAGAACGCAAAG
rnacentral:lncRNA from 1 species